rnacentral:rRNA from 1 species
UGCCUAACACAUGCAAGUCGUACGGAGGUCUUCGGACCUCAGUGGCGAACGGGUGCGUAACACGUGAGCAACCUGCCUCGAGGUGGGGGAUAACCCGGGGAAACCCGGGCUAAUACCGCAUUCGCUCGUGCUGUCUGAUGGUGGCACGAGGAAAGGGGCUUUCGGGCCCUGCCUUGAGAGGGGCUCGCGGCGUAUCAGGUAGUUGGUGGGGUAACGGCCCACCAAGCCGACGACGCGUAGCCGAUCUGAGAGGAUGAUCGGCCACAUUGGGACUGAGAUACGGCCCAGACUCCUACGGGAGGCAGCAGUGGGGAAUCUUGCGCAAUGGGCGAAAGCCUGACGCAGCGACGCCGCGUGCGGGAGGAAGCUCUUCGGAGUGUAAACCGCUGUCAGGAGGGAAGAAAUCUCCGGGGAGGCAAUGCCCUGGAGUUGACGGUACCUCCAGAGGAAGCACCGGCUAACUCUGUGCCAGCAGCCGCGGUAAUACAGAGGGUGCGAGCGUUGUUCGGAAUUACUGGGCGUAAAGCGCGCGCAGGCGGCUCUUUAAGUCUACUCGUGAAAUGCCGGGGCUCAACCCCGAGCGCUGCGGGAGAUACUGGAGGGCUGGAGACACGUAGAGGCAAGCGGAAUUCCGGGUGUAGCGGUGGAAUGCGUAGAGAUCCGGAAGAACACCGGAGGCGAAGGCGGCUUGCUGGGCGUGAUCUGACGCUGAGGCGCGAAAGCGUGGGGAGCAAACAGGAUUAGAUACCUGGUAGUCCACGCCGUAAACGAUGGGCACUAGACGCGGGUGGGAUCGACCCUGUCCGUGUCGCAGCUAACGCGAUAAGUGCCCCGCUGGGGAGUACGGCCGCAAGGCUGAAACUCAAAGGAAUUGACGGGGGCCCGCACAAGCGGUGGAGCAUGUGGUUUAAUUCGAAGCAACGCGAAGAACCUUACCUGGGCUUGACAUGCUAGAGAAAUCCUCGUGAAAGCGGGGGCCUCCUUCGGGACUCUAGCACAGGUGCUGCAUGGCUGUCGUCAGCUCGUGUCGUGAGAUGCUGGGUUAAGUCCCGCAACGAGCGCAACCCCUAUCUGCUGUUGCUAACGGGUGAAGCCGAGGACUCUGCAGAGACUGCCGGUGACAAACCGGAGGAGGGUGGGGACGACGUCAAGUCAUCAUGGUCCUUACGCCCAGGGCUACACACGUGCUACAAUGGCCGGCACAAAGCGCAGCAAUGCCGUGAGGUGGAGCGAAUCGCAAAAAGCCGGUCCAAGUUCGGAUUGCAGUCUGUAACUCGACUGCAUGAAGCCGGAAUCGCUAGUAAUCGUGGGUCAGCUACACCACGGUGAAUACGUUCCCGGGCCUUGUACACACCGCCCGUCACGCCAUGGAAGUCGGGAGCGCCCGAAGUCCGUGAGGCAACCCUUCGGGGAGCCAGCGGCCGAAGGCGAGUUCGAUGACUGGGGCGAAGUCGUAACAAGGUAGCCGUAGGGGAACCUGCGGCUGGAUCACCUCCUU